rnacentral:misc_RNA from 1 species
AACGCAACUUGCGCCUCUUUGAGGCAUGUUUGUUUGAGUGCCGCAAAACCCCUUUUACACUAACGUGUAAGUGUUGACCUCUGCCGUUUGGCUCUGGUUUAAAUGUAGCCAGUUAAUGGUACUAGUUGAACUAGACCGAGUGCUAAGCAUUCUUGGUGUAGUCAAUUGGGAUCAUCCUAUGCAUUUUAUUUUUGGCCUCAAAUCAAGCAAGAUUACCCGCUGAACUUAA